CAGCGAAAAUAGCAAAACCGCCGCAAGGCGGUGACGCAAAGCCGAGGGUCCCCAUGGGAUGGCCGGGUUGCCGAA
rnacentral:ncRNA from 1 species